rnacentral:rRNA from 1 species
AUGACUAAUGGGGGCGGCAUCACUGCUGUCAUUUGCCAAUACCGCCCCCUUUAUAUUCAAUCCCCCAACCUCUCCCACCUCCCCCGUCCCACCUCUUCUCCUCUCCCAAGUCCCAACUCAAAGGCAAGAGCAGACCCAGCUCAGGAGAGACAAUCAGAUCACAGGCUGCCUAAUCCUGCUCUUCGUUGGCGGUUUCUGUGCAACCCGCCGAGCUCUUGCGAGAAUAUUGCAAUGGCGUCCACGUCGAGCUCGACGGCGGUGGAUGAGAGGGAGCGGAAGCGGAAAAGGGCAGCCGGGGGUGAGUCCACAGCGUCCGCCGGCCCGGGGACGGAGGCGCAGCCUUCCAAGUGGCGGACGCGGCGCGAGCACGAGAUCUACUCGUCCAAGCUCUUCGAGGCGCUCCGCCUUGUCCGAGGCGGGUCAUCGUCCGCGUCCACGGCGCCGGCGCGUGGCCGGGCCGUGCGGGAGGCGGCCGACCGCGCGCUCGCGGUGGCGGCCCGCGGGCGCUCGCGCUGGAGCCGCGCCAUACUCGCCUCCCGCCGCCGGCGCCUGCAGGCCGCCCACCGCGCGCGCCUCCGCGCCCCAGCCACACCGCCCGCGCGCCACUCCUCGGUCGCUGCCGCCGCACAGCCGCAGCCGGGGAAGGCACCGGCGCUGGCGAAGAAGGCGAAGGUGCUGGGGCGGCUGGUUCCCGGCUGCCACAAGCUGCCGUUCCCGGCGCUCCUGAGCGAGGCCUCCGACUACAUCAAGGCGCUGGAGAUGCAGGUGCGCGCCAUGACCGCUCUAGCCGAGGUCCUGGCGAGCGUCUCCUCGUCGUCAGCCUCCGGCAGCUCCUCCUCGCCGGCAUGA